ACUUAAAUAGCUUAUAUUUAGAGCACGACACUGAAGAUGUUGAUGAGGUAAGUUUAUUACCUUUAAGUA
rnacentral:tRNA from 1 species